rnacentral:rRNA from 1 species
GCUUGGUCCUGACUUUACUAUCAACUUUAGCCAUAUUUACACAUGCAAGUAUCCGCACCCCUGUGAGAAUGCCCUAAUAGUUCCCCGCCCGGGAACAAGGAGCUGGUAUCAGGCACAAUAAUCAUAGCCCACGACACCUUGCUUUGCCACACCCUCAAGGGAACUCAGCAGUGAUAGACAUUAAGCCAUAAGUGAAAACUUGACUUAGUUAAAGCUAAGAGGACCGGUUAAACUCGUGCCAGCCACCGCGGUUAUACGAGAGGUCCAAGUAGAUAGUCAACGGCGUAAAGAGUGGUUAGAAGAGACCCAUUACUAAAGCCGAACGCCCUCAAAGCUGUUAUACGCACCCGAGGGUGAGAAGCUCAUCCACGAAAGUGGCUUUACAACUUUGAAUCCACGAAAGCUAUGGCACAAACUGGGAUUAGAUACCCCACUAUGCUUAGCCUUAAACAUUGACAACAAUAUACACCUGUUGUCCGCCUGGGUACUACGAGCAUCAGCUUAAAACCCAAAGGACUUGGCGGUGCUUUAGAUCCACCUAGAGGAGCCUGUUCUAGAACCGAUAACCCCCGUUCAACCUCACCCUUCUUUGUUUUUCCCGCCUAUAUACCGCCGUCGUCAGCUUACCCUGUGAAGGACCUAUAGUAAGCAAAAUUGGUACAACCCUAAACGCCAGGUCGAGGUGUAGCGUAUGGAAGGGGAAGAAAUGGGCUACAUUCUCUAACAUAGAGAAAACGAAUGAUGUACUGAAAUACACAUCUGAAGGAGGAUUUAGCAGUAAGUA